GUGUCCCUGCGCUGAUCGAGUCACAACAUAGUUGCCUGAGCCUAUGUGUUUCGAUUGGGAGAUUGCUAUUGUUGUUGUGUGCGUCAUUCCUUGCGAAAGAACCUGAUGCAACAAUGCUUCGCCCCCCUCACUUUGAGGGUUCGACAACUUCCUGAUGAUACGACAGUGCGGGGAUGCU
rnacentral:other from 2 species